GAACCUCCAAACAGGGUUUCAGGAUGUCAGCCCCAGGGAGACCUCAAACUGUGGCAGGGUAGCUUAGAAGCACUUGCAGAUCUCAGAUGAGAAAGCACUUGACCUCAGAACCUGUGCAAUGUCAGGUGUUCUGUAAACUUCACCAUGUUCUGGGACAUUUGGUCACUGACCUUUGUGUUGUGAAAUUGCUUCCUUCCUUCCCUGCUCAUGCCUGGUAGAUGGAAUUCCUACUCUUCUAGCUAAGACUCCUCUCCUUGCAGCUCAGAAAGAGACAGAAUUGCAACUCCCUGAAAGAGCUGCAGAGCCAGGAACGAGGGACAGAGGCUUCCAGAAGAGGUAAACCAUGGCUAGUGACACAGACACCUGCCUGCCUGAAACAUCACACUGACAACUCACAUCUUGUUUCUCCAGGUCCAGUCCAUCUGCUGCCACCCAGGAAGAAAGCCAUUAUGCUUCCAUGGAGGACAUUCGACCUAAUGACAGUGUGGAUCUAGACAGUUGGCGACCACCUGAGGAAGACCUGCAGGGAGAGACAUAUGCCCAGGUGAAACCUUCCAGGCUCAGGAAAGCAAAAACUCCCUUACCUUCUGCCAUGUCAAGUGAGCUCAUGAACACAAAAGAUGGACAAGCAAAAGAGGACAGAGAGGUGCACAGUCAGGUGGGUCCUGUCCUCCAGAGACCUACAGAUUCUCCCAAGCCAAGCAUAAACCUUCCUCUCACUCUCUCCCACUGAAGGCUGCAGAAUCCAAGGAUACUGAGGAUGUGACCUAUGCCCAGCUAUGCAUCAGGACGCUCAGCAUGGAGACAGCUGCACCUCCUCCCUCCCAGGCAGAGGAAGACCCAGAGGAGCCUAAUGUAUAUGCUGCUCUGAUGGCUGCUCGUGCUGAGGCUGUUCCCAAGGACAAGGAGCAAUGACCUUCUGCAUGCCAGCAUGGAUAACAGGCCACCAAGGGAUUUGGGAAUUUUAAGCUACCUGUCUGAGCUUUAACUAAUGUCACACAGUUUGGAAAUAAAGCCAGAGAUUCUCAAUAUUCAAGUGAAAUGAGA